AAAACCCCAUCGACCUCACGACCUCUUCAUUUCCCGUUUCCCUUUCCGACCGCCUCCGUCACCUGCAGAUCCCCGCUGUCUCCGGCGAGCCCUCGCGCCGCCGACCACCGCCCUAGCACCAUCUCCUACUCCUCUCUCGCCGACCGUCGCCUAGCAUCUCCGAAUCGCUGCGCCCCACCAGAAACCCUAUCCGCAUUGGAUCCACAUUGUCCCCUGCGGCGCUGCCCGCCGGCAUGUCUCCCCCGGCGCCGCCUCGUCGCCCACACCACGGGCCCUUACUCCCCUUCUCCUCUUGGCGUGGGAGCUGCUCUACCGCAUCAGCUCGAGCGCUCCAUCUCUCCCCUGCAGCUACUCAACCCGCCACCGCCCCCCGUCUUCCCCACCGCAGCUCCUCCACUGCUGCUCCUCACCCACAAGAACCCGGGCGGCCGUCUCACUCACCGGCAGGAAAGGGGGAGGGGAGAUGAAGAGAAAAAAUUACCCUCCUUUUCUGCCAGAUUUAACCGGCGCGUGACUGGUUGCUUCCGUCGGCGCCACCGCAUGAAGGGCUGCAGCUCUACUUCGAGCAGGAAGGAGUGCUCAGCCGGGUGCUGCAGCGUUCGUGCCUGGGUCGUGGUCGUCCGAGGCCGUUCAGGGCUUGCAGUUUCCAGGUGUUCAUAUUUGGCUAGGGAUUUACCUCUCUGGUCGCAUGGUUGCUACUUCCCUGCCGCUAGGGUCUACGUGUCUGCUGAUGCGGCUUUGCGCUGGAUGCCGCGCCAGUGAAAGAGCAAGACCUUGUCUCGCAUGCCGGUGCCACCGGGUAAGGUUGCCUCCCGGACCACAAGGGAGCUCAUCAAGCUCGGGUUCCGAGUCUGUUUUGCCAUGUGGAGCAAGGAGAGGGCGUCUUUCUAUGUGGACCGGCUGAAGCUGGGCGAACAAGCAGCGCCGCUGGUCCAAGGUAGGGUAAAACUGUUGCCUAGAAUGUGAACAAGGUGGCAUGCUGUUUCUGAAUGAUAGAGAUCAGCACCUGCAGCCAGAAGAGGCCGACCUGUGUGCCAAGAGGAGUGUGCUGAAGCUAGCGAGCGAACUUAGGUGUGGUUGCGCUUUCCGGCCUCGUGUGGCUCCGUGGCUGACUGGACAUGCGAUUCUAGUCUGCAGGCUCCGCCGUAAAGAUGUUUUUGUAGUAAUACUCAUGAUGUUUGGUGUCUCCACAUAUUCUUUAUGUAAUCGUAAGCUUGCAUUUGUUUCUAGUUGAAGGUGGUGUGGUGUUGUUGAAUGGUAUGCAUAUUAGUAAACUGUCUGUAGAGCUAUCCCUUCAUAGAUCGCUGUGUGAUGUAAAUGUUGGGAAAAGUAGCACCUUUUCUGCUGUCAAAAAAUAAGUGUUCUUGAUA